rnacentral:misc_RNA from 1 species
GUGGGUGAUAAAAAUUAUUAUGAUACACGGAAGACUUGCGAAGGUAACCUUUGCUAUGACUUCUCGAGGAUGGAAACUUACCUCAACGACAACCAAGUUAAGCGUGCCCUUGGUGUUGGUGACAUCGAGUUCGUGUCAUGUAGUUCUAUAGUUAAACAGGCGUUGGGUACGGAUAUGAUGAAGAGUUUUGUAGUUGGUAUUCCUCCACUUCUUGAGGAUGGUAUCAAUCUACUCAUUUACGCGGGAGAGUAUGACCUUAUGUGCAACUGGCUUGGGAACUCAAAUUGGGUGCAUGCAAUGGAAUGGUCUGGGAAAAGAGAAUUUGGUGCUGCACCAUCCAUUAAUUUUACAGUAGAAGGUGAGGAUAAAGGAGUUCAAAAGAAUCAUGGACCUUUGACAUUCCUCAAGGUUCAUGAUGCAGGUCAUAUGGUUCCAAUGGACCAACCCAAGGCAGCAUUGGCAAUGCUCCAAAGAUGGACACAAGGCAAAUUGUCCAACACUUAAAUAAAAAGAUCAACAAUUCGUUAUUUAUAGGUUGCAUCUUGGGAUCUAGAGGUGAACAAAAUCAAAUCGCAAGCUACUUCUAAUCGAAAAAUCAAAGCAAAUCGCAUAAAAAUCGCACUUAUAUUUGAUUUGAUUUUGCAUUGAGUUCUAAAAAUCUGAACCAAAUCAGCAUAUAAAUAUUAUACUUUUUAUGCAGGUUUUCAGUAGAAAUCUCUAGAAAUAUUUGUG